rnacentral:rRNA from 1 species
UGGGGAAUAUUGGACAAUGGGCGAAAGCCUGAUCCAGCCAUGCCGCGUGUGAAGAAGGCCUUUUGGUUGUAAAGCACUUUAAGUGGGGAGGAAAAGCUUAUGGUUAAUACCCAUAAGCCCUGACGUUACCCACAGAAUAAGCACCGGCUAACUCUGUGCCAGCAGCCGCGGUAAUACAGAGGGUGCAAGCGUUAAUCGGAAUUACUGGGCGUAAAGCGCGCGUAGGUGGUUAUUUAAGUCAGAUGUGAAAGCCCCGGGCUUAACCUGGGAACUGCAUCUGAUACUGGAUAACUAGAGUAGGUGAGAGGGGAGUAGAAUUCCAGGUGUAGCGGUGAAAUGCGUAGAGAUCUGGAGGAAUACCGAUGGCGAAGGCAGCUCCCUGGCAUCAUACUGACACUGAGGUGCGAAAGCGUGGGUAGCAAACAGGAUUAGAUACCCUGGUAGUCCACGCCGUAAACGAUGUCUACCAGUCGUUGGGUCUUUUAAAGACUUAGUGACGCAGUUAACGCAAUAAGUAGACCGCCUGGGGAGUACGGCCGCAAGGUU